CCCGAGAGUGGCGAGGCUGGCCAGCCCGGAGCAGAGCCUUCCCGGGGCAGCUAGGGGCACGUCUGCAGGGCGGGGGACACGGGGUGCCCAGAGCCGGAGCCGGGCCGUGCGGCGACCUCUGCCUCGUUCUCUGCCGCUGCCCAGCAGCAGCACACACGCUGGUCUGUGUGCCAAGGGGCGCCUGACGCCACAGCUUCGGACCGCGACGCUCGGCCUGCGCUUCAGGCUCCCAUUGACGUUAUCAGUGAAACAAGCCAGACACAAAAUAAAAAUGCUGAAGGAUUCCACCGCUGCGAGGUCCCUGGAGUCAAGCUCACAGAGGCAGAGGGGUUUGCUGUGCUGGUUACCGUUUUCCUGGAGAACUGGAGCCUGAAUUCGCAUCUCUUGGAAUUUAGAAACGUCUGUCCCACCUCACUCCAGAUGGUAAUCGGCCGUGAGUCCCUGCGGUAAGGUGCUUGCCCACAGCUCGAGGCCCUGCCCUUCAGGAGGCAGCCUGGGGGGCACAGACAGUGAAGGUUUGGGCUCCGAUCCUAACGCUGCUGCCUGCGGGCUGUGUGAUCUUAAGUGAGUGUCCGAACCUCCCUGAGCCUUAGCUCCCUCUGCUGUAAAGUGGAGGCGCUAAAGGUUCCUACCUCACGGAACUAGCAAGACACUUAAUUGGCGUCAAGCACAUCAGGGGGGCUUCCCAGGCGCACUGGUGGUAAAGGACCUGCCCGCCGGGCCGGAGGCGAAAGGGAGGUGGGUUGGACCCCAAGACCGGGAAGGUCCCCUGGAGGAGGGCCUGGUAACCCAGUCCAGUGUUCUUGCCUGGAGAAUCCCAUGGACAGAGGAACCUGGCAGGUACAGCCCACAGGGUUGCUCAGGGUCAGACACGACUGAACCGACUUAGCGCACGAGCUUGUCAUCUGUCCUUGAGCCUCUUUGCUGUUGUUAUUUAGCAGAAGGUGAAGCAAUCUUUGCUCCAGGGAGCCUUCCCUGACUGCCUCCGCCAUUGUCCAGGCUGGGUUAGGCUCUUCUCUGGGCUUCCCAGGCUCCUUGGGGACACCCUGUCGUGACGUCGUAUCCAGAAGCCGUCGAGGGGAGCGGCUGCUGAAGGCAGUUGCUCACGGGGGUCCCCCUGGGUUGGCGCUGAGGUGGCCAGCAGCCUUGGUGCUGAGCAGAGGGGCCAUGUCCCACUGCCCCGUGGUGAGCAGGCCCCGGCCCACUGCCCACGGCCCACUGCCCUGCGGCGGGCAGGCGUGUGCUGAGGGGCAGUGGGACGAUCGCAGGGACUCCAUACCAGGACCCCCGCCCCAGCUGAGGACACAGGACCCGAGGGCCUUCUGCAAGUAGCCGCACACUGCUGGGCCCGGGACCACAGUGGCCCAGGGUGUGGGGACUGCCUGCUGUCCCUUCAGGUCUGGGAGGAAGCUCAGGACCCCUCGGCUCAGGCGGGCGCAGCCCCCCUCCCCCACCCCCGCCCCCCGCCUGCCGCUGAGCAUCCUGCAGCCUGACCUUCAAGUUGGGCUUCACUGUUUUCAGAUCAUCUGCUUGGCUGUCACCUGCUCGGGUCUUCCCAGGACGAACCCAAGGGGGUCGUGGCUGUAUCAGUACCCCUCAUGACAGAGAACAAGAAACUAGCUCCGGGGAGUGAGCAGAGACAGGGCAAACCUCGACAGUUCCUUCCAUGUGAGGGCCCUGGACGAGCCACUUAGCAGGACAGAAAGCGGGACGGGGUCCCGGGCGGGGGUGUCUGCUGGGGCAGAGCUUCAGCUUAGGAGAGGAGCUGCCCUGGAGAUGGCGGCGGCUGUGGCUGGAGCACAGUGUGAGCACACGUAACGCCGCUACAGUGGUGAAAACGGGGAACUUCGUGCCGUGUGUGUGUGUGUGUGUGUGCGCGCUAAGCCGCUUCAGUCGUGUCCCUGUUGACCCCAUGAACUGGAGACCAGCAGGCUCCUCUGUCCAUGGGAUUCUUUAGGCAAGAGUGAGUUGCCACGCCCUCCUCCAGGGGAGCUUCCUGACCCAGGGAUCGAACCUGUGUCUCUUGCGGCUCCUGCAUUGCAGGCAGUCUUUGCCGUUAAGCCACUGGGGAAGCACUAUGCUGUGUAUAUUGUACCACAAUUUGAGAAAAUUUAAAACUAGUGACUAAUAUGUAAUAAUGAUAUAUUAACGUAGUGUGCUAUGGAUAGGAACAUGUCAUCGCAUAUGAGUAUAUAAUGUAUCCCUAACCCACACCCCAAGGGGUCCAGGGAACUCUGAGUUCAGCUGUGAACUCUCCUCUGCUUGGAUGGUCCAAGGCUUCUCAGGCAGAGCACCCUCGAAGCCCCUGGGGCCCCGGGUGCUGGGCUCCCAGCUGUCUCUGGCUCCAGGCUUCCAGCGGCCUGUGUGCUCUGCCCCCAGCCCUCGUUAGCGUCUGCUGCAGGGGGUCUGGGCACAUUCCUCUGGCCCAGGGUCUGUCCUCCCGCUGGGAUGGGGGCAGGGGCAGACAGGACCACGGAGGCCUCAGCGUCGUUGCCCACAGCAGCGGGGUUGAGUUUCCCGGGCAUGUUACUCGCAGUGGCCCCACCAGGUGGUGGGGGUGGUCCCACCUUCCCUACGAGUCCACUGAGGCCCUUUCAGAUGCCCCCAGUCCCCUGCCCUCUACCUCGUCCCGUGGGGAAACAAACCGAUGGCCCCUCCUCUCCACUGAGCAGCCCCAGGGCCACCUCCGGCCAGUGACUUAGCACCUGCCCCAGGGACAGCCCCAGGGGAGGGCAAGGGGAUCCGUGGGGCAAUGGGGCCCCCGAGGCUCGUGUGGAGCCCCUUGGAGGGGCGGUCCCCAGCCCUAGCGAGGGCCGAGCGGAGACCAGGGCGCCUUUGUCCUCCACCCGCCCCUUGCCCUCUGUUUACAUCCUUCCUUCCCGUAAGUGCUGGGCCCUGGCCCACUGGCGGAGAGCCAGGCGCACCUGUAGGACAGGUUGGGCAGAGAUCUAGGGGUGUGGGCGCGGGACUGGAGGUGACUCAGGCCUCCGCUCCUCCCAGGCUGCCCUGGGCCAGGGAUUCUGGAUCCCAGAGGAUGAGAUGCUUCCUGGGGGCUGUGUGGGCCGGAAAGUGAGGAGGGCGCGGACCGUCCCCCGUCCUCAGUGGGUGUUUCCCGGGGAACCGAGGUCAGGGAGACACAACGUUGGGUGGGGGUGGGAGCCCCUCACCCAACGCAAGGCCCGCGGGCCAGGAGCCCUGGGCCAGGUGAGGGGUGGGCGGGCGCGGGGGCCUCUCCAGGGGACCUGCAAGGAGACACUCGUCCCGGGAAGGAGACUCGGGGCGACCCCAGGGGUUGCGUCUGGCUGUGGGCGAGGGCCAGGCCCUCGGGAGCCGUGACUCACUCAGGAGGGAGGCCUUGUCCUCCGAGACUGAAGCCUCAGGGGGAUGGCUCUCUGCCCGACCUCCGUCUCCCGGGCGACCCCCAGACAGCCUCGGGGCUGGCUCACAGCCCCGAUCUGUAGCCCAGCCCCCUGCGGCCCUGACUCUGCCCGACCCGGCUCCCCAUGGCUCCUUCUCUCUCUGCCCCUCGGCUUCUUCGUCUGUCGGAAUAGAUGGCCCUGGAACCGGCAGAAGGGAGGGGAGCGGUGCUUUGCGCGUUAGCUCGUCCAGCUCUGCCACCGCUGCCCCCUCACACCCACACCCGAGUCCCGCUGUCCUGUCUGCACCUCUGAGGGGGCUGAGGACCCUUGCGGUCAACAAGUCCCCUCAGGUGAGUCAGCAAGUCCGCUCAGGUGAAGAGUUGAAUAGCCUCUUCAACUAUUUGUGCUAAAGGACCAGUUUGGUUUUGCUUGACUUUGUUUUGAUUUGAUUUUCCAAUCUAAUGCUUUUGCAAAACAAUAAAAAUGAAAGACUAGAGAAAUGAGAGGGAAGUGACCUGCGGCUCGCUUCGGUCAGCGCGCUGUUCUAGCGGCUGUUGCCUGUGUUCCCAUCAGCAGUGAGAAGGUUGUUCUUUUUUUUGUCUGCUCCCCCUCCGGAGAGAAAGUUACUUGUCAAACUGCUGUAAAAGUUUCUAAACAGGGGCCCACACUGGUCUCUGGACCACAUCCCAGGCUGCAGGAGGAGGGUGAGCCUGGAGACCCUGCUCAGGGCAGUGUCCUGAGGUCUGGCUCACCGCGGGGAGGCCGGGCUGCCCGGCCCCUGCACCUGGGGAGGGGCUUGGCCGUGGGCAGAGGGCUGGGGUGCUAAAGCACCGGUAUCACCUGGACUUUAAAACUCUUCAGUCUCUGGGGCACGGUGGGCGGGGGCCAGGUGGUCAGGCCGCCCCUGGGGUGCAGCUGUGGACUCCGCUGCCCACGGCCCUCUGGCAGGGAGGACCCCGCUUCGGCUCUGGAGGAGCCCCGUCAAGAGCAGGUGGGCGGGGGCCUCACCCAGGGAGCCUGGGGACGGUGGGGAAGGCCUUCCGCUUCUCUGAACGCAGCUUGGGCAGCGCAAAGGGUGUGCCUUCUUGCUCACUGACGUUCAAGAGAUAUUUUUUAAAAAGCAGCCAGAAACAGGCAUGUGCAGGAGAAUGCUUUAUAAACAUGGAAACCACCCAAGUGUUGAGGCAAGUGGUUUGUUUCUCGCAGCGGCAGAGACGCCUGGGAGAGCCGACAGGCCCGGGGAGCCCGCAGUCACCUCCUCAGCGCGUUUGAUCAUUCGGUCUUUACUGCUGGUAUACGCGCCCUACUGGGGUUCUGGUGAGGAAGCCAAAGCAGUGACCUGCAGGCCCCACCGUCAGGAGGUCCCCGGGCGCUGGGUGCUCCCCCAGAGCUUGGUGGGGUGACAUGGGCAGCCCCCAAGGCUUCCUGGAAGAGGUGGUCUCCCUGGGGGAACGUCAGGUGAAUCACGAGGCCUCCUCUCCCUGGACUAUCACGCGGGUGGUACCCGAGCUGGAUGGAGCGCCUGAUGGUAACCCACAGGCUGCCCGAGAUGCAGGGUUGGGAGGAAAGGUCAGAACAAGCUGGUCGCAGCAGUCACUCUAUGACGCGGUGCCGUUUGCGCAGGAUUUAUCCGCUGGUUCUUGGCUGUGUCAGAGUCGCCUGAUGCUGGGGGGUCUGCUCAAGCCCAAGCUUCCCCGCCCCUCAUCACAGUUCUGUCCUGAGCUAACCCCGAGCAGAGGAAGCUUCCCUCCAGACCCUCUGAUGUGAGCUGGGUGCCUGAGGGACCGAGUCACGUCUCCAGAUCUUCUUAUCUCAGCAGAGGCGGUGAGGGCCGUCCAGCCCCACGCGGGCGCUGAGCAGCGUGUGGGGCACCCUCGCCAGGGGGCUAACGGCCGUUGCCUCCAGGGGCGAGCUUUGAGAUGACUGCUCGCGUCUCUUUACUCUCUGGGCACAAUCUGAAACGUGGAGCGGCCACCUACUACUUUGUAAAAGCAGCAGUUUCACUGGGAUCGAUGCCCACGGCUCGAAACACAGCCCUUUACACGGGGCAGAGCGGCGUGCUUCAGUAACCUUACACGAUUAUGCAGCCAUCCCCAAAUCUAGUUUCAGGACAUUUUAUCCCCAAAGGAGUCUGGUGCCACCAGCAGCCACGCCCCCCGCAGCCCCCAGGACCGCCCAUCUGCCCUCUGUCUGCGUGAAUCUGCCUGUUCUGGACACUUCCUCAAUGCGGCCUUCACGACUGGCUUCAGCAUCGUCUUUCCAAGGUUCAUCCAACUAGUACAUACUUCAUUCCUUUUUAUUUCCUGAUAUAUUUUGUCGUAUUCCUAUUGUAUUAUUUAUUGAAAUAUCGAGUAAUAAUGUCGACCGUC